rnacentral:tRNA from 1 species
GUCAAUUUGGCCGAGUGGUUAUGGCGUGUGACUCAAGCGUAAGCUUACCAGUGUAUACUGGCGCAUUCUCAUGGGCUUUGCCCGUAAGUUCACCCAACAGAUUGGCCGAGUUCGUCAGAUUCUAACUUUCACCCAGGCGUGGGUUCGAAUCCCACAGUUGACA